rnacentral:rRNA from 1 species
UAGGGCGGGACACGAGGAAUCCUGUCUGAAUCCGGGUCGACCACGAUCCAACCCUAAAUACUAAUACCAGAUCGAUAGUGUACAAGUACCGUGAGGGAAAGGUGAAAAGAACUGAGGUGAUCAGAGUGAAAUAGAACCUGAAACCAUUUGCUUACAAUCAUUCAGAGCACUAUGUAGCAAUACAGUGUGAUGGACUGCCUUUUGCAUAAUGAGCCUGCGAGUUGUGGUGUCUGGCAAGGUUAAGCAAACGCGAAGCCGUAGCGAAAGCGAGUCUGAAUAGGGCGCUUAGUCAGAUGCUGCAGACCCGAAACGAAGUGAUCUAUCCAUGAGCAAGUUGAAGCUAGUGUAAGAACUAGUGGAGGACUGAACCCAUAGGCGUUGAAAAGCCCCGGGAUGACUUGUGGAUAGGGGUGAAAGGCCAAUCAAACUUCGUGAUAGCUGGUUCUCUCCGAAAUAUAUUUAGGUAUAGCGUUGUGUCGUAAUAUAAGGGGGUAGAGCACUGAAUGGGCUAGGGCAUACACCAAUGUACCAAACCCUAUCAAACUCCGAAUACCUUAUAUGUAAUCACAGCAGUCAGGCGGCGAGUGAUAAAAUCCGUCGUCAAGAGGGAAACAACCCAGACUACCAGCUAAGGUCCCUAAAUCUUACUUAAGUGGAAAACGAUGUGAAGUUACUUAAACAACCAGGAGGUUGGCUUAGAAGCAGCCAUCCUUUAAAGAAAGCGUAAUAGCUCACUGGUCUAGUGAUUUUGCGCGGAAAAUAUAACGGGGCUAAAGUAAGUACCGAAGCUGUAGACUUGCACACAACUUAGAUUAUUUAAGUUUAGAAUAUUAAGAAACUAAGUUAUAUGUUUUAGUUAUAUUUUUACUGAUUUUUAUAGGGUAAAGAUAGAAAUAAAACUUAGUAAAAUCAGUAAAAAUAUUCUUAGGCUAAAGUUAAGUAGUUUAAGUUGUGUGCAAGUGGUAGGAGAGCGUUCUAUUUGCGUCGAAGGUAUACCGGUAAGGAGUGCUGGAGCGAAUAGAAGUGAGCAUGCAGGCAUGAGUAGCGAUAAUUAAUGUGAGAAUCAUUAACGCCGUAAACCCAAGGUUUCCUACGCGAUGCUCGUCAUCGUAGGGUUAGUCGGGUCCUAAGUCGAGUCCGAAAGGGGUAGACGAUGGCAAAUUGGUUAAUAUUCCAAUACCAACAUUAGUGUGCGAUGGAAGGACGCUUAGGGCUAAGGGGGCUAGCGGAUGGAAGUGCUAGUCUAAGGUCGUAGGAGGUUAUACAGGCAAAUCCGUAUAACAAUACUCCGAGAACUGAAAGGCUUUUUGAAGUCUUCGGAUGGAUAGAAGAACCCCUGAUGCCGUCGAGCCAAGAAAAGUUUCUAAGUUUAGCUAAUGUUGCCCGUACCGUAAACCGACACAGGUGGGUGGGAUGAGUAUUCUAAGGCGCGUGGAAGAACUCUCUUUAAGGAACUCUGCAAAAUAGCACCGUAUCUUCGGUAUAAGGUGUGGUUAGCUUUGU